AACGAACGCUGGCGGCAUGCCUAACACAUGCAAGUCGAACGAGACCUUCGGGUCUAGUGGCGCACGGGUGCGUAACGCGUGGGAAUCUGCCCUUGGGUUCGGAAUAACUCAGAGAAAUUUGAGCUAAUACCGGAUGAUGUCGCAAGACCAAAGAUUUAUCGCCCAAGGAUGAGCCCGCGUAGGAUUAGCUUGUUGGUGAGGUAAAAGCUCACCAAGGCGACGAUCCUUAGCUGGUCUGAGAGGAUGAUCAGCCACACUGGGACUGAGACACGGCCCAGACUCCUACGGGAGGCAGCAGUGGGGAAUAUUGGACAAUGGGCGAAAGCCUGAUCCAGCAAUGCCGCGUGAGUGAUGAAGGCCUUAGGGUUGUAAAGCUCUGUCGAAUGGGAAGAUAAUGACGGUACCAUUUGAGAAAGCCCCGGCUAACUACGUGCCAGCCGCCGCCGUAA
rnacentral:rRNA from 1 species